rnacentral:rRNA from 1 species
ACGGGAGGCAGCAGUGGGGAAUAUUGCACAAUGGGGGAAACCCUGAUGCAGCGACGCCGCGUGAGUGAAGAAGUAUUUCGGUAUGUAAAGCUCUAUCAGCAGGAAAGAAAAUGACGGUACCUGACUAAGAAGCCCCGGCUAACUACGUGCCAGCAGCCGCGGUAAUACGUAGGGGGCGAGCGUUAUCCGGAUUUACUGGGUGUAAAGGGAGCGUAGACGGUAAGGCAAGUCUGAAGUGAAAUGCCAGGGCUCAACCCUGGAACUGCUUUGGAAACUGUCCUACUAGAGUGCAGGAGAGGUAAGUGGAAUUCCUAGUGUAGCGGUGAAAUGCGUAGAUAUUAGGAGGAACACCAGUGGCGAAGGCGGCUUACUGGACUGUAACUGACGUUGAGGCUCGAAAGCGUGGGGAGCAAACAGGAUUAGAUACCCUGGUA